UUUUUUUUGCACAUGCGCAAGUGCAAGUCAGUGUAACUAAACAUGGCAGCCUUGUAUGGGAAACAUACGAGAUCGUUAGUCGAGAAGGGGUUUUGUAUACUGUCUAACCGAUUUCCAUGGAGCCAUCGGCUUACAGCACUGGAUGCCCCUUGCGUCGAGGCUGCGCAUCGUGUGCAGCACAGCCGCUCAUUGCGGUGGAGCUGGGGGAGCACGCUAAUGACUGCCAAAACGGAUGCACAGAAAACGAACGAAUCCUUUAAUAUCCCACCUGAAGAACCUGAGUACAUUCCAAAGAGGAAAGCCAAAAACCCAAUGGUUAAAAUUGGAUAUGCCUGGAUGAUCGGACUGCCAUCCGGGAUAAUAGGUUUUCUUCUUGCAAAGAGGGAGGUUGACAAGAACCGCCUCAAGCAAUUAAAAAUAAGACAACGCAUGAAGAAGUCUAAUGAAGGGGAGUACGACAGCGAACGAUAUGGGAGC